rnacentral:rRNA from 1 species
AUUGAACGCUGGCGGAAUGCUUUACACAUGCAAGUCGAGCGGCAGCGCGGGGCAACCUGGCGGCGAGCGGCGAACGGGUGAGUAAUGUAUCGGAACGUGUCCUGUCGUGGGGGAUAGCCCGGUGAAAACCGGAUUAAUACCGCAUACGAUCGAGAGAGGAAAGUGGGGGACAGCACGGCCUGCCGCGAUAGGAGCGGGCGAUAUCUGAUUAGCUAGUUGGUGGGGUAAAGGCCCACCAAGGCUUCGAUCAGUAGCUGGUCUGAGAGGAUGAUCAGCCACACUGGGACUGAGACACGGCCCAGACUCCUACGGGAGGCAGCAGUGGGGAAUUUUGGACAAUGGGGGCAACCCUGAUCCAGCCAUUCCGCGUGAGUGAAGAAGGCCUUCGGGUUGUAAAGCUCUUUUGUCCGGGAAGAAACGGUUUUGGCUAAUAACCAAGACUACUGACGGUACCGGAAGAAUAAGGACCGGCUAACUACGUGCCAGCCGCCGCCGUAA